rnacentral:rRNA from 1 species
UACAGAGGUCUCAAGCGUUGUUCGGAUUCAUUGGGCGUAAAGGGUGCGUAGGUGGCGAGGCAAGUCUGGUGUGAAAUCCCGGGGCUCAACCCCGGAACUGCACUGGAUACUGCCUUGCUUGAGCACUGGAGAGGGAACUGGAAUUUACGGUGUAGCAGUGAAAUGCGUAGAGAUCGUAAGGAAGACCAGUGGCGAAGGCGGGUCUCUGGACAGUUCCUGACACUGAGGCACGAAAGCUAGGGGAGCAAACAGG